UGGCCAUCAAUCGGAAAAGCCGGUGUCGUCUCACCUUCUUCUCCGAGCCAUUCAGGUCGCGAUUCAGUUGUCAAGGUGGGCAGGGAGUCGAGCCCUGAUUCCUUUCCAUCUCCGCCGCCAUGGUUCUGCCGCCACUUCUGCUGUCUGUGGACAGCUGGUGAUUCAGCGUUGUUGCUCCAUUCACGACGCCGCCGUUGCUGUUACACCAUUCCCUCCAGGGCAGCAAGAGUUGCCGCCGUCGUUGUCGUUGUCUUGGCUCGACCGAACAGGCAGCCGACCCUAUUUCUUAAAGCUAAGUUCUCUAGUCUCAUUUGUUUUCUAUUCCGUGACGGAGUGUCGAUGAGUAUGCAAAAUGAAUCUCGAAACAACAAUGUUGGGGCUAAGUCGGUGUCUUUGUUAUAUCUAUCAUGCUUAUGUGAGUCCUAUAUCAUCUGGAACUGAUUAUGCUCUGGUACGAAUGCUUACUAGAAUGGAUAUCUGAAAUAGAAUUAAUACCUUGGGAAUGAAUGUUGGUUGGCUGUUUGCCGUUGGGUUUAACGAACUGGAAUGAUUGAACUGAAAAGAUCGAACUUGUUCAUUUCAAUAAAUGCGAGUUGUAAUUUGAAGGAGAUGAUGAAUCAAAGCUACUCUUACCUUAAAGUUUCUGGCGAGAAGUGAAUGAGUGGUUUGUCUUGCUUUUCGGAUAUGGCGUGUUGAAUGAACUCGAACUGAAAUUAAUUGGUGUUGUUGCUUCAGUAAUUGCAGGUGAUUAAUGGAAGGAGAUGGAGUAUUAAAGCAAGGCUUACCUUGAGGACUUGGUUGAACGAAAGGAAUACUACUCUGCUCUUUGGAAAGAACUCUUGGUGACAGAGAAAUGAUAGAGAAUGUUGUGUUCUCCGCUGGAGUUGAGACUAAGUGGAGGAGGAGUUGUUGCUGCAUACUUGAGUAUGCUAGCUAAAAAUGUGCAGAGAUAGGGUGGCUGAUGUAUGGGUUAGAUGGGAUGGGGGCAGCCAUAGGGGUGGUUGAAUGACUCCUGCUGUACUUGGCAAUAGAGGAGAAGGGUGGAUAGAGGCUGCCCUCGUGCAGCUCAUGUUCCCACUUCCUUUUUUUUUUUGUUUACUCGGUGUUGGUGUAAUUAGGAAGAUAGAAAUGAAAGUUGAUUGUGAGCAAAAGGUUGCAAAGUUUGAGAAUGAGAUUGUGGUGAAUAAAUGAAGUAUAUUCUUAUGUCUCGGUGAUUUUGUACUUGUAUAUGAAUCGCGUGCUCGUAUCUGCUUGAUACUGCCUAUUUAAUAAAUCUCGUAUUUCGACA
rnacentral:lncRNA from 1 species